GCGGAUGUGAUGGAAUUGGCAGACAUGCAGGAUUUAGGUUCCUGUGCCGCAAGGCGUGUGGGUUCAAGUCCCGUCAUCCGCACCA
rnacentral:tRNA from 1 species